rnacentral:misc_RNA from 1 species
CGCACCUUGCGCUCCUUGGUAUUCCGAGGAGCAUGCCUGUUUGAGUGUCUUGAAGUCAUCAACACCACCUGUUUUUGUGCGGGUUGGUCUGUUGGACGUGGGGGCUCUUGCCGCCGUGAGGCGGCUCCCCUCAAAUGCUUCGGUUGGACCUUGCGGGUCGAACUCGACUGGGCGUUGUACCAUCCUCGCUCUCCAGAAGUUCCCUGCUGCAGUGUCCUCCCACGACCGGCCUGUGGAGCGGCGGUCAACAUUUUGAAAUCUGACCUCAAAUCAGGUAGGACUACCCGCUGAACUUAA